GAUGAACGCUGGCGGCGUGCCUAAUACAUGCAAGUCGAGCGAAAACACGAUGAGCUUUUUCCUCUGACGUUAGCGGCGGACGGGUGAGUAACAAGUGGAUAACCUUCUACUUAUACUGGGAUAAAUUCGGGAAACCAGAGCUACUACUAGCUCAUAUAUUCAACAGGAUGAUUCAAUAGUUCAUGGCGGUUUUGCUGUCACUUAUAGAUGGAUUCGGGUCGCAUUAGCUAGUUGGUAAGGUAACGGCUUACCAAGGCAACGAUGCGUAGCCGAGCUGAGAGGGUGAUCGGCCACACUGGAACUGAGACACGGUCCAGACUCCUACGGGAGGCAGCAGUAGGGAAUCUUCCGCAAUGGGCGAAAGCCUGACGGAGCAACGCCGCGUGAGUGAAGAAGGUCUUCGGAUCGUAAAGCUCUGUUAUUAGGGAAGAACAAAAGUGUAAGUAACUAUGCACGUCUUGACGGUACCUAAACAGAAAGCAACGGCUAACUACGUG
rnacentral:rRNA from 1 species